rnacentral:rRNA from 1 species
GAUGAACGCUGGCGGCGUGCUUAACACAUGCAAGUCGAACGGUGAAGGCGGAGCUUGCUCUGCUGGAUCAGCGGCGAACGGGUGAGUAACACGUGAGCAAUCUGCCCCUGACUCUGGGAUAAGCGCUGGAAACGGCGUCUAAUACUGGAUACGAGCUGCGAAGGCAUCUUCAGCAGCUGGAAAGAAUUUCGGUCAGGGAUGAGCUCGCGGCCUAUCAGCUUGUUGGUGAGGUAAUGGCUCACCAAGGCGUCGACGGGUAGCCGGCCUGAGAGGGUGACCGGCCACACUGGGACUGAGACACGGCCCAGACUCCUACGGGAGGCAGCAGUGGGGAAUAUUGCACAAUGGGCGAAAGCCUGAUGCAGCAACGCCGCGUGAGGGACGACGGCCUUCGGGUUGUAAACCUCUUUUAGCAGGGAAGAAGCGAAAGUGACGGUACCUGCAGAAAAAGCGCCGGCUAACUACGUG